GUGUCUUUGGAGUGCAGACGCUUCCCGGACAGACAACUGCACAAGGGCUGCUGAUUUUCAACCAGUGGCCUGAAAACAUCACAUUGCUGUGACUCAGCAGAGGACCUUUUUCUGGAGAGACACUCCACCUGAGCUUUCCACAGCAGCCAGUGUGUCACAUAACUUCUCUUACGAGGCUCCUGAAGUCCUGGGGGUCAGCCUGCAAAGUGAAAAAUGCAGAGAUCUAGGA